CAGACCCAAGGGCCUGGAAAGGAAUAAGAGAGACCAGGGUGAGGCUGGCCAGCUGUGUUCUCAGAGUACAGAGCGCUGAGCACAUCCACCAUGGCCUGGACCCCUCUCUCGCUCCUCGUCCUCACUCUCUGCACAGGUUCUGUGGCCUCCAGUGAGCUGACUCAGCCGCCCUUUGUGUCAGUGACCCUGGGACAGACGGCUACCAUCACUUGCUCUGGAGAGGAACUAGAAGAUUUUUAUGUACAGUGGUACCAGCAGAAGCCAGGCCAAGCCCCCGUGCUGGUCAUUUAUGAGGAUAGUGAUGGGCCUUCUGGGCUCCUUGACAGAUUCUCUGGCUCCAGGUCAGGGAACACGGCCACCCUGACCAUCAGUGGGGCCCGGGCCGAGGACGAGGCUGACUAUUACUGUCAGACCUAUGACAGCAGUGCUGAUGCUCACGGUGACACAGACAGAUGGGGAAGUGAGACACAAACCCCUUCCCCGUCUGUGCCACACUCUCCUCCAGGCCCCAGGAGGCCUGUGCACAGAGCAGUGAGCAGGUCUGACCCAGAUCCCCAGGACUGAAGUCCCCAGUCUGUC